rnacentral:rRNA from 1 species
CCUACGGGAGGCUGCAGUGGGGAAUAUUGGACAAUGGGGGCAACCCUGAUCCAGCCAUGCCGCGUGUGUGAAGAAGGCCCUCGGGUUGUAAAGCACUUUCAGUGAGGAAGAACGCCUGGUGGUUAAUACCCAUCAGGAAAGACAUCACUCACAGAAGAAGCACCGGCUAACUCCGUGCCAGCAGCCGCGGUAAUACGGAGGGUGCGAGCGUUAAUCGGAAUUACUGGUCGUAAAGCGCGCGUAGGUGGCUUGAUAAGCCGGUUAUGAAAGCCCCGGGCUCAACCUGGGAACGGCAUCCGGAACUGUCAAGCUAGAGUGCAGGAGAGGAAGGUAGAAUUCCCGGUGUAGCGGUGAAAUGCGUAGAGAUCGGGAGGAAUACCAGUGGCGAAGGCGGCCUUCUGGACUGACACUGACACUGAGGUGCGAAAGCGUGGGUAGCAAACAGGAUUAGAUACCCUAGUAGUC